AUUGAACGCUGGCGGCAGGCCUAACACAUGCAAGUCGAGCGGAUGACGGGAGCUUGCUCCUUGAUUCAGCGGCGGACGGGUGAGUAAUGCCUAGGAAUCUGCCUGGUAGUGGGGGACAACGUUUCGAAAGGAACGCUAAUACCGCAUACGUCCUACGGGAGAAAGCAGGGGACCUUCGGGCCUUGCGCUAUCAGAUGAGCCUAGGUCGGAUUAGCUAGUUGGUGGGGUAAUGGCUCACCAAGGCGACGAUCCGUAACUGGUCUGAGAGGAUGGUCAGUCACACUGGAACAGAGACACGGUCCAGACUCCUACGGGAGGCAGCAGUGGGGAAUAUUGGACAAUGGGCGAAAGCCUGAUCCAGCCAUGCCGCGUGUGUGAAGAAGGUCUUCGGAUUGUAAAGCACUUUAAGUUGGGAGGAAGGGCAGUAAGUUAAUACCUUGCUGUUUUGACGUUACCGACAGAAUAAGCACCGGCUAACUCUGUGCCAGCAGCCGCAGUAACAC
rnacentral:rRNA from 1 species